UUAAGAUGAUGACGAUGUCCACUAGAGGACGUUUGAGAAACGUUUUCGCCACCCAUCGCCGUUGUCUUUUGCGUGACAACUCAAAAACAGAAUGUAGGACGCGACUGAACCCAAUUUGACCUUUUCUCUCUUCUUGAACGUCGUAAUGUCGCGGCAACGAGCAAUAACUCUGUAGACUGAACGGCGGUAACAAAAGCAGCAGUAACUGUAACCCAACGGCUAUAGAGGGCAAAUAUCAAGCCACACACAAUAGAAACGACGGCGACCACACUUCUGCCAUUAGGUCAAUAGAAGGGUCCGUCCGACAGGCGUCGCAGCAGAGCUAGGUUGAGGUUCAAAGGAUCUAAGGAAGGAAAGACCUGAAAGAAAGGGCAUCUGACUCUUACUUUCCACUUCGUAUGUUGCCAACAGCUCUGAAAUAUUGCAAGCGUUACGGCGGUGGUCAGCCAUACAUCGUAUAGCAUAUAUCCAAGUUCUCGCGCUGGGUUACGAAUCACCUUGAGGGCCUGUCAGGCAAACCAUCGGGGGGCAAUUUCGCCCCUUGUCUGAGUCAUAUAACUAAUUCCUCGUUCUGUCAUAUUGACAAUCCCAAGCUAAGUAACGUUACCAGAAGAACUAAAUCAACUAUGAGCACGGGUUUAGUGUAAAUAUACGGCUACGCAAAUGAGGGUCGUUUACAUCGCUGAAUUAAGAUUAUUCGUCAACAGAAUGAGAUUAACGAAGUAAUUUACGCUUACUAGAAAUUUAAAAUUGACUUCAUUGGGAACCCGGGCCGCAUGUAUUAAUCUUCAAUGAUCAUAUCAGGCAUUUUAAAGGCAGCAUAAAAUGGCCGUAUCAGCUAUAUAUGUUUUAAUUAUCUACAAUAUUUUACUGCCUAUCCUACUUUCCCAAGCAAGAAAGCAUUCAAACAUAUUUCACACGUUUGCCAUGCCGUAUAUUCAGUAGCAUCAAAGACUGAACUCGGAAGGGUCACGAUUUAAUCAGCAUCGAGAAAUGCUUACAUCUUCUUCUAUUCAUUAAUCUUCUCCCUUAAAAUGAUCCCCACUAUAGGCUUACGUUGUUUGAAAUGAUUUAGUAGCAAAGUUUAAUGUUUUCUAAUUGAUUGAUUUUUCUAUGCUACAGUCCGAGCAGCAGCUCUCAAUCAAGGGCCAACCGUUGCUAUCGUACAGCCGAAGGUUGCAUAUGAAGGUGCUGCUAAACGACUGCAGUUAGGGUUACCUUGGUCCCCAAGCAAAGUUUUCUCGUUCCGUUGGGCGUCAUGGCUGAAAACUAUAGUGCUCCUUAAGGUUCCCUUUGCACCCUGUUGCGUAUUCAAGUCGGUAUGAGAAAGAGACGGAUCUAGACUCAGAGAGCUGUACUAACAACAACAGUAAACGUCUUGAAGCUUACAACGUUUCAAGCUGCAUCCCCGUCCAAGCAUGGCCACUUAACGGUAUUAUGGAUGAUUUGUUGCCGCAUUUUAUGAAGGUCUACUGUAAAUGGCCUCCAAUUCAUCUGAGUACAGUAUCUGUAGGGGGCGCCAGGGGAAGGUUUUCAUGCAUUCAUUUAUGCUUCCUGAUAGACGAGUUUGCACUACUAUACGUCUUCAAGGUUUUUCUAAGAAAUGUCAAAAAUGCUUGUGAGAGUGAUGAUGUCAUCAAGUAUCGCACCGGGGUUGUUGCGGCGAAUUUCGAAGAUUUUCCCGUAAGUAUUGAAGCUUAAAAACGUCGAGUAAAAACGAGUCUGAAUCCGUGAGUCGUAGUGAGCGUGGUACGGCCGGGAGGCCCAAUGAACGUUCAACAACACGCUAGAGAAGGCUUGACCCGAGCUUACAACGUGCGUCUGGGAGUUGCUGAUCUGGUUCGAGGUCUGCCAGCGGCGUAACCGAGACCCAGAGUGGCACGAUACUCUCCAUCUAAUUCCGGCUCAAUGACGCUCCUUUGAAAAAAUGAAGGAGCGAUCUUAUAAGGCCUUUUAAAGUUCUCAAGCGUUAAGGCUUUUCCAGUUUUGGUGUGGUCGAUUAUCGUAUCUCGUGUCAGUCCGGAGGGCGACAUCGGGUAUCGUGAUCCAAGCGCUAGAAGCUACGCAGUGUUUCUUCAGGAGCUUUGGCGCUAUCUUGACCAACGAAGCGAUAUGCUUCCCAUCAUGGCCGAUUGCAGACUACCUACAGCAGAAAUACAGCGGGCCUGAGCAGGACGCUGUUCGAACUGUCUUUCCGCUCUUGGGCCGUACUGCUCGGAAAGCUUUGUGGCUGUGGAAAUGCCAGAAGACAGAGUGUCGCGAAACAGCGCGCAUAAACUACUGCGGAACCGGCGACACCACAUAAAAGCGUGCUUUGAAUAUCGCUUCGAAUUCUCUGCCCCGCGGAAAUCUCCAAGAAGUUGCAGCCACUUUACCAUAUGCCACUUACUCUUGGGGGUCCAUGUCAUAAAGCUAUCGGGUUUAGGUACCCCCGCUGGCUAGGGAACAUACUCCGACAUCGCAGCCGAAUGUAAAGUUCCCAAUCCAUAGAGUUCAACCGAAGAAUAAUCAAUUCAUGAGCGUAGCAUGGGGUAAAUCAAGCGUCUAUCGUAUUGUACGGCGUUCUUUAUGAAAAUAUGACCUUCAAACAAUAACACAUGCCAUCAGUGAAGAUGAUCCGGACUAAAAAAUUCUGCUUGUGGUAAUAGAAAAAAAUAUGAACAAGGUGCGCUGUUUCCAGACAGCAUUGUUUUAAAUUAUAAAAUUGCAUUUUAAUUAAUUAAACAGCAUAAUUAUUCCACACAAUUUUAAUUACUAGAUAAUAUAGCAACGUUGUGAAAAUUUACCAGAAGAACAAAGAGUUAAUCCAAUCAUUCGCCUUUGAGGGUAUAGUCACUGGUGUCAAUUCCUUGAGUUUACAGCAAGAAUCUCUUUUAGCACGAAUUUUUGGGAGAAUUGUGGUAAAAAUGGCAAACUUUACUUCCAACAAUAAUCGUGAUAUAUCUUGGCGAGUCGUUGCACGUUUUCCAGACCCGACACCGAUGGAUUUUUCUGAUGGAUGUAUCUCAAAGAUGAGGUCUACGCUGACAGACCGAAGACACUGGAAAAUUUCAAAGCCACAAUUGAUCAAUACUGCGGCCAAACACCAAAUUAAAAAAAUGUCUGUUUGUAAAUUUAUGGCUUACCAUUAUCAGCCCUAAACUAAUUAGAAGGACAAUAAUUUAGAACACCUGUAAGAGCCUGUUGAUACUGUUUGGACAAACAAAAACGGGCCUCCUUCAAGUAAGCUUCUUACAUAAGCCCUUAUAUAUAUAUAUAAGGGCUUAAAGUAGGCCCGUUCUUGUUUAAUUCAAUAGCUUCAGUUUACCGGAAUAAUAAAAAAAAAAAAAAGAAAAAAAAGGUAUCUCAAUUUCAGGCGAAGCCGCUGCGGUUAGAUUGUACUAACUGCUUUUGUGUUCGAACAGUGCGGUACUAAGUGGCCAACACGAAAAGAAACACUAACUUAUUUGAAAACCUAUUUUCGCUACUGUGUGGAAAAAAACUUGUGAUUUUGGCCGAUAGCGCCGUAGCAUUCGCCAUUUGAGAAACUUGUUCAAUAACUGCCAGCGACACCACGAAAGGUCCUGUGAUGACCAACUAUGAAAAAGCAGGACGCUGAUCUCUUUAACGCGCGGGAAGGCCACGCUGUAGUAAUAAGACGUCUCAUUAUCUUAGUGCUUCUAUGUCUAUGUGUUAUAAUAAACUCAAUGUGAAUGAACUUCUAAACA